rnacentral:tRNA from 1 species
CAAAAUGUAGCUUAAUCAAAGCAUUUCGCUUACACCGAAAUUAUAUUUGUGUAACCCAAAUCAUCUUGA